rnacentral:siRNA from 1 species
UGUUCUGUAUUUCGUUGUAGUGC